GGAAGUAGAAGUCGUAACAAGGUUUCCGUAGGUGAACCCGCGGAAGGAUCAUUAUUGUAUAACCGAGGUGCGAGGGCUGUCGCUGACCCGAAAGGUCGUGCACGCCCGAGUGCCCUCACACACAUCCAUCUCACCCCUAUGUGCACCACCGCGUGGAUCCCCCUUUGGCUUGUUCGGAGGGGGGCUUACGUUUUCACACAAACUUUGUAUGCAGUGUAGAAUGUAUUUUUUGUUUUUGCGAUCACGCAAUCAAUACAACUUUCAACAACGGAUCUCUUGGCUCUC
rnacentral:misc_RNA from 1 species